rnacentral:rRNA from 1 species
CUACGUAGGGUGCAAGCGUUAAUCGGAAUUACUGGGCGUAAAGCGUGCGCAGGCGGUUUUGUAAGACAGAGGUGAAAUCCCCGGGCUCAACCUGGGAACUGCCUUUGUGACUGCAAGGCUAGAGUACGGCAGAGGGGGAUGGAAUUCCGCGGGUAGCAGUGAAAUGCGUAGAUAUGCGGAGGAACACCGAUGGCGAAGGCAAUCCCCUGGGCCUGUACUGACGCCCAUGCGCGAAAGCGUGGGGAGCAAACAGGAUUAGAUACCCUGGUAGUCCACGCCCUAAACGAUGUCAUCUGGUUGUUGGGUCUUCAUUGACUCAGUAACGAAGCUAACGCGUGAAGUUGACCGCCUGGGGAGUACGGCCGCAAGGUUGAAACUCAAAUGAAUUGGCGGGG